UUGGUAAGUAAGGGUGGAGGGGGUCGAUUGUUUACUUCUACUUUCUUGUAAAACCGGUUUGUUGGAAUGUUUUGUUUGUAGCUGGUGCAUGUUGGUUUUCAGUAAAAAAAUCCUAUCUUCUUUUUCUAUGCUUUGAUGGUAGCUCCAUGGUGGCUACUCCCAGAAGAGGAAGAGGCUAUUUCCUUUAGCAUUCUCUGAAGUAUAUGCCGUGGUUCCAUUCUCUUGCUAGGUGCACGCUGUUCCCAGAGCAGGAAGAGAAGAUGAAGAAGUGAAAGAGCAUGAGAGACACUUCAUUUAGCAUUCUCUCGAACAGUAUACUAUUACAUAAUAUAGCAUGUU